UAGUACUGUUUAUUAACCCUGUUAGUAACCCUACUGUUUAUUAACCCUGUUAGUAACCCUACUGUUCAUUAACCCUGUUAGUAACCCUAAUACAUAGUACUGUUCAUUAACCCUGUUAGUAACCCUACUACAUAGUACUGUUUAUUAACCCUGUUAGUAACCCUACUGUUUAUUAACCCUGUUAGUAACCCUACUGUUUAUUAACCCUGUUAGUAACCCUACUGUUCAUUAACCCUGUUAGUAACCCUAAUACAUAGUACUGUUCAUUAACCCUGUUAGUAACCCUACCACAUAGUACUGUUUAUUAACCCUGUUAGUAACCCUACUACAUAGUACUGUUUAUUAACCCUGUUAGUAACCCUACUGUUUAUUAACCCUGUUAGUAACCCUAAUACAUAGUACUGUUCAUUAACCCUGUUAGUAACCCUACUACAUAGUACUGUUCAUUAACCCUGUUAGUAACCCUACUGUUUAUUAACCCUGUUAGUAACCCUACUGUUUAUUAACCCUGUUAGUAACCCUACUGUUUAUUAACCCUGUUAGUAACCCUAAUACAUAGUACUGUUUAUUAACCCUGUUAGUAACCCUAAUACAUAGUACUUACUUUAUUAAGCCUUCACCUGUAAAACACGGUUUCAAACAACAUAAAUUAGCUGGCUUUACAUUCAUUAACAUCAAUGCACAGUCAGAGAGAGAAAUGGUGUGUGUGAGAGUGUGUGUGUGAGAGAGAAAGGGUGUGUGUGAGUGUGUGUGUGUCAGAGAGAGAAAGGGUGUGUGUGAGAGUGUGUGUGUAGGAGAGAAAGGGUGUGUGUGAGUGUGUGUGUGUCAGAGAGAGAAAGGGUGUGUGUGAGUGUGUGUGUGUGUCAGAGAGAGAAAGGGUGUGUGUGAGUGUGUGUGUGUCAGAGAGAGAAAGGGUGAGUGUGAGAGUGUGUGUGUGAGAGAGAAAGGGUGUGUGUGAGUGUGUGUGUGUGUGUGAGAGAGAAAGGGUGUGUGUGUGAGUGUGUGUGUGUCAGAGAGAGAAAGGGUGUGUUGUGUGUGUGUGUGUCAGAGAGAGAAAGGGUGUGUGUGAGUGUGUGUGUGUCAGAGAGAGAAAGGGUGUGUGUGAGUGUGUGUGUGUCAGAGAGAGAAGGGGUGUGUGUGAGUGUGUGUGUCAGAGAGAGAAAGGGUGUGUGUGAGUGUGUGUGUGUCAGAGAGAGAAAGGGUGUGUGUGAGUGUGUGUGUCAGAGAGAGAAAGGGAGUGUGUGAGUGUGUGUGUCAGAGAGAGAAAGGGAGUGUGUGUGAGUGUGUGUGUCAGAGAGAGAAAGGGUGUGUGUGAGUGUGUGUGUCAGAGAGAGAAAGGGUGUGUGUGAGUGUGUGUGUCAGAGAGAGAAAGAGUGUGUGUGUGUCAGAGAG